GUUAGCCGGGAUGGUCUCAAUCUCCUGACCUUGUGAUCCGCCUGCCUCAGCCUCCCAAAGUGCUGGGAUUACAUACUCUCUGUUUUAAUCUCAGUGGGAAUUCCAAUACUGCCGCUGCACCUUGGACCCAAAAAUAUGUCUCAAAAUAUAUUUCUGUAUUCCUUUAAUUUUAUUUCUGCACACUCAGCACUUUUGACACACAUAUCUAUUUUACAAGUGCUCAAGUAAACUAAUCGCAUCUUGUUGAAGCUCUUCCUUACUGUGCUGUCAUCAGUUAAUUAUGGGGGAACUAAGAUGCACAGGGUAUGAUUAUUAACGACACCUCAGAUUUACACAAACCCACUCUUUGAAUGAUUUGGAGGCAGUUCAUACAUAUUAGCUCAUUUUUCCUCAUAACAGCUAGAUUGAAUGAAAGACCUAGAUUCUAUUCUUGAUGCUGUAACAACCUUUUUAGGAAAAGUAUUUAGUCAUUAAUUGCCUCAGUUCCCAACUGUGAAACAGAAAUCAUGAUAUGAAAAUAUUUGCUUCUCCCUUUCGUUCUCCUAAACCUUUAGAAUCUUAGUAGCUUUAAAAAAUGUAAAAAUCUGAAGUUUGAAUGUAAAGAAGUGUGUCUUGACUUUUUGAACAUUAAUAAAAAGUUGAACAGCAAUAUUGGGAGUAUGACUGGAAACACUGAAAUCUGAAUUAUUAGGUUUGACGCAAAAUUAAUUGUGGUUUUUGCCAUUAAAAUUUAUCGCAAAAACCACAAUAACUUUUGCACCAACCCAAGACAAUCUAAUUCUACUUAGUAGUGAGUCAUUGCCCUAUCUACUUCUUGCCUAUGUAUUGGAAAAUACUUAGAGAUCCAGAGGUUAUGAGUACUACAAAAGGAGCCCUAUCUUCAAAAGAGCAUUAAUUUGGUCAGCAAAGACAUCCCUAGGAACCAUGGCAUCAAUAAGACCCUAUUUGAGAGGAGAACAGUCUCAAAUCGAGUCCUAUUAAUGCCAUGGUUCCUAGGCAUCAAUAAGAUGUCUCUUUACUCUUCCUUCACCUCUUUUCUUUCCCUCCCAACUGCCAGGCUAUCUGUAGCAGUUUCAAAACAAUAUAGACAACUCCAGACCAAAUCCCUGGUCUGUAUGCUUGCUUGAAUAUCAUCUCUAGGUUCUUGGCCUUACAAUCGCAAUCUUCAAAAGUCCCAGGGGCGAAAAAUAUCCCUCUUUGCUUGCCAGCCUAAACCUAAUGACUGAAUGGCAGGGAACCUAGACAAAAAUAGCAUUUGGCUCUUAGAUGACAUCCUCCAGCCAAGAAUAAUGACUUUUAUAAUGUCAGGUUCAAUCCACUUAGUGCAUAGGUAAUAGGCAUCUCACCUUAGGGAGGGGAAUGGUCUCUCUUUCCCUCUGUCUCUCUUUCUCUCUCUGUUUACCUAUUGUUAGACAGAAGCUUUCUCCUUUACCUUCCUAAAACCCAAAGGCUGCUAAAAUGUACUUCCUAUAAAUUGGUAGAGUUGGGCCCCAAUGCAAUCAAUAGGCCAUAGAUUACCUUCCAGAGAGCUUCACAAACCACCUGGGCCCAUCAGAUAAGCACCAGCUCUUCUAUGGAAUUAGGAUGGAAGCCAGGAAAAGUCCUCUGAAACUCAACGAGUGAGGUACAAGGAGGCAACAGAAUUAUUUUAUAUAUUCAUAUCAAUAAAUAUCACUAAAUAUAUACUGAAGGAUUAGCUCAGCAUUCAUUUUUCCCCUAAGAUACUAAUGAAAGCAGUUUUUUAACUAGGCAAAAAUCCAAGUAUUUUUCCUGACUCUACUUAGCCUGACACUUGGAAAUGAUGUGGAUUUCGGGUAUAAAAUCUGCCAGAUGAUUCCCUUUGAGACCACUUGAGCUACAGAGUGCCUGUACCAAACACUGCCCCCUACUGGUCUAGAGCCUCCUCUUCCUCUUCCUAUGAUGAGUAUUAUCAUAGGAAGAGGAAUAUUUUUGCCAGUUAGUGAAAGACUCUUGCUGAGGGAAUUUAGAUCAUCUUUAUCUUAAGUACAUUUAGAGUAGAAUGAUGUGUACCCAUCCAGUUUUGCCUUGGGAAAUGCCAGGAAUGCCCCAAAGGAUACAGUUUUAGAAACUGUGUUCUAGGUUAGCAUAAUGAAUAUUAUCCCAGUCUAGUACAGAUAGUAACAUAUUUGUAACCAAAGUCAGUCAACGCUAGUGGAAAACAGAAUGGAGUCCAUAUAGUCCCCUGCUUAACUCUAUUCAGAGGCAAGAACUGCUCAGAUAAAGAAUAGGAUAGAAGCUAGCCUGCCAAAGGUAGCCAUUAUAUGUACUUAAAUAUUCUUUCCCUAGGCAAAAUAAAGAAUUGCCUAAUCUUUCUUCAGAAUAUACAGUAUGAAACCCUAGAGUCAUUUAGGUCAUAUGGUCAUGAACCAUUUCUAUCUUCUCAACUUCUUUUUCUGAAACGAGGGCACCCUGAGCUGUGUUGCUUAUCUCAGAUCUGGAUUUAGCCACACACUCUAAAGUGUAAGAGUUCUCCCUCCUCACAUGUAGCCCAAAAUAGUCCUUCACAGCCACGUCACCCUGGACAGUUUAUCACUUGACAUGACCUCCUACUCUACCGAUUGGAGAGAUUUCAGACAGAGCUUGACUGGCUUCAAACAGAAACAGCAUGACUUCAGAACGUAUAGGAUGAAUUAAACAGAGCAAUUUUCUAGUUUUCAGAAACACAAACGUGACUAUAAGUGGGACCUCAGCCAGAGUACAGUCUUAGAAAAUAAGGUUUCAAUCUACCAUUUAUUAAAUGCCAUGUUUAUGUGGCAUUUUAUUAAGCAUUUUAAGGGUUAUUUAGGCAUGAAUAUUGCUCUCUCAAAAUGUUACAAUCAAAGCCAUCUUAGCAUCAAAAUUUAUUCUGAAAUGAUUUGCUGAGCUCCUGCUGUGUAGCAGGUGCUGUGCCAUGUACUGGGGUUACAGAGGGACCCUGUCACAGCCUCUGUCUUUGUGAUCUUAGAGUUGGGAGAUGGAGUAGCGGAGUACACAGAUGAUGCCAGUACUACAGCAUCACUUCCUGUCCUCUGGCUAAAGAAAUUUCACUGUCCAGCACAGUGCCCAACAUAGAGUUAAGUAGUCAGUAAUUAUGAACUAGAUAAAAAUCAGCAAAAUAAAAAGAAUGAAUGAAUGCUAAGAUAGUGUAAGUAUAGGGUGCUAUGGAAAAUGCAUAGGAGAAGAAACUAAACUAGUUUGAGGGGACUAACUGCAGAAAGUGUCAUUUACACUAGGACAGGAGUCAAAGAGUAUAUUGAUGCAAAGGAAAGACCAUGAAUUAGACCUGGGUUCAAAUCCUAGCAGUGCCACCCAUGAGCUGGGCAAUUCUAACUAUUUCAAACCUUAUUUUCUGCAUCUGUAAAACACUGAUGAUACCUUUUAAAGGCUGUUUUGGGGACUAAAUGAGAUAUUAGUUACCUGUGUCUGACACAGAGAAGAACUUCGAUGAUAGGUGUUAGAGGUAUCACAGAGAAUGGACUUGCAACAUGCAAGCCAUGAAUAUCUAAGUAGUCAGGUUAAGGGCACAAAUAUUUUAAAGAAUGAAUAGAAAUAAUAAGCUUAAAAUCAUGAUGGAAAUAAAAGAGAGGUGCUAUAACAGUUCUUAACCCCUAAGCCCAGACAAGGGUGGAGGGAGGCAGAUGAUUUAUAGGAGUUUGCCAUCCUCUUCCAAUCCAUUCUAGAAGGCUUUUGUAUUUAGCUUUCAGCUGCAGAACCAUGUGGCCCUGCCUGUCCCAUUCACAGUAUGGUAAAUACUUUUUCAGAUAAUCAGAUAAUCUUAGGGUAUUAUGAUUUAACUGCUCAGCAUGGAUGCUUGAUACAAGCUAUAUGUGUGUGUGUGUGUGCAUGCAUGUGUGUGUAUGUGUGUUUGUGUGUGGUAUUUUCCCUGUAAGUUCUUGCCACAAUUAGCUUUCAUUGCUUUUACCCUAAAUAUUUUCAAGUAUACCAGAUUCCUUUCUUCUGUUCUUCCUUCCACCCGUGUGCAUCAGGCUCUUUCCUGCUACAUUCACAUAGUUAGGUUAUUUAACACACACAUACACACCUGCUGUCUGCUGGCUUCAACUCUUUUUAGGUGAGAUUUUAGGACAUGGCUUGAGAUGCAUUGGAUUGUGAGAUACAUUAAAUAUAAUGUGGGGGAGGAGAAGGGAAAGAUGCUAGCAGCUGACUUUUGGUUUGGGUUUUUAGUCCUAAUAUGAGACAGGACAUGGCAAAAAAGUGUCAAACAAGAGAAUGAGAGGGUCCAAAGAAACGAGGUGGUGGUGGCCAGACAUGAAAGAAAGUACAAGACAUAAAAACAUUUAAGUUUGAAAGAUAUAAAAUUUGGAGAAGGGAGACCUAGCAGUGUUUAAGAUUCUGAUGGGGGAGGGAAAGCCAUUGAUUGGGCCUUUGAAACCAUGCCAGGAACCAAGAGCCAGGGGUAGUGGCAGAGGGGACGGCCAGGUAGGACAAUUAAAACGGAAAUCUGGCUCCUUACAACACAGCAUGGAGCAAGGCUACAGAAUUUGCUGCAGUGGGAGGUGGGGCCAGUCUGGCACAGUCUGUGGGUUUGAAAGGAGCUGGGCGGGUUGGAGAAUGCCAGUCAGCCUUUGUAGUUCUGAGCUCAGAGAGGGGGUGACACGUACUGGGCUCCAGGUCAGAAGCCUGGCUUGGGUGGCUUUUGGAGAAAUUUUCCCUCUGCUCCCAAACUCUUAAAAGGUGCUCAUCACACCACUGACCUCCAAUCACAGCACAAGCACGUGUCCCAAAGGCCGUCCUCCAGCAGAGAUUUCGGCAGUGGUACCUGUUGGCUGGCGCAUGGGGUCCUUUCCUUUUUCUAUUCCCUGGAAGCCGUCAACUGGACUGAAUACAACAUCUUUGCAUCUUUUUCUUCACCCUCCCCACAAGCUUGCAUCUCCCAGACUCCUAGGGUUAAUCCCCAGGACAACUUUGCUUUGAAAGAAAAAAUGUGGUGAGCCUACUUGAAGAUUUGGAUUCCAAGAGGCCUCUGUCUGUCCUGCCUCAGCCAGAGCCACACAGCCAGCUCAAGGAGAUGGGCAUUUACAGGGAAAGCAGCAGUAAGUUUUUGUUGUUGUUGCUGUUUGUUUUCAAGGCUUGGUUGUUCUCCAGAAUUAGGUCCCUGAAAGCAUGGGGUUUUCUUUUCCUUUUUUUUUUCUUUCCUUUCUUUUUUAUUUUCUUUCUUUCUCAGCAAAAAUGAAUAAUACCCUCUUCUCCCCCUGAGAGUGAUUCAUAAAAGCAAUUUAAAAGUUGCUUCUUCAUCGCUGCUCAUAACCUGGGUUAAAGUUAUCUGAGGUUGAUCUGUGUGUGCCUAUUCUCAACACUGUAAUAUUUUAAAAUGUAUGUGCAUUUGUUAUAAUAAUUUGUGCUGAUGGUUCUCCUCCAGAAGAAAUACUAUGUAACUGGCAGAUAGAUUAUCAUUAUGCUGAAUUUGUCCCAGGACUUGCAUAGAUACCUUCUUUGGGGGGUUUUGUGCUUAUUUGCUGCUCGUGAAAGAGAAGGAUAGAAAGACUUUGGAAGGAGGGUGUGGUCCAGCAGAUUCGGCUUCCUCCCAGCCCAUCAGUGACUCCUUCUUCCUGCUCCUCCCUUUCCCCUCCACUUCUAUCCCAGUUCCUCAGAUCCAACCAGAGCCAGCUGUCAAUGAAAUAUCUUCUGCCUUUUCUAUUACAGCGUGGGUUAGACUCUGUCAGGUAGGAAACUACUCCCCAUAAUCAAACUCAUAAUGUUUGUGAUCUCAGCGUAUUUGCAAACUUAGACAUAGACCAGACAAUACCAUUUACCCUCUCCAUUUCUCCCUUCCUGGGAUUUUUAGCCAAGGUAGUAAUAACAAUAAUAAUACUGUAUUUAAAAGGCCUCUAGCAAUAUUUCAUCUUCUGAGAGCCUUACAGAUGUUAACUAAUUAAUCUUCACAACACUCCAUACAAGAGAGGUAAAUAUUAUUAACCAUGAUAGAAGAUACAUAUGUAUAUGCUAAGGACAGCAAACUAGUUCACUUAUUUAUCAUGGUUCACUUGAUAUAGUAACUGGUAUUUUUAAAACACCCAUCAUAGAUACAAUAAUUAGAGAUGUGCUUUUGUUAACAAAGCCACUACCCACUUCUAGCGUACCCUUGGGUACUAAAUAAUUACCCACUUUGUGUGGUUAUCUAGCUCACUAAUUACCCACAGAAAUUGGGGUCAGGUGUUAACUGCUUGAAAUAAGUAUCCUCCAAAGACAUCGCUGAGUUGUAUAGAGAAAAUGAUGUGUUCAUAGCAAAACUUUCAUAAGCUAUAUAUUUGUAUAUCUUUGUAAGCAGAGUGAAUACAGGCAAGAGCAAAUUAGCUUAUUAUGUGAAAAUCAUGCUGAACUAUUGUUGCAAAUAUAGAGAGGUUUAAAAGAGUCUCGGGGAAUCUCGUCCUCUAUUUACCUUUCCCUUUGAAAAUGGGUUCAAUGACAUGAUUCCCAUAAUCUGGCCUUCAUAUAGAAGUACUCUAAGACAAUUGAUGAUUCUGGUUAGGAAUGAUUCAUUUUGGUGUACAGGGAGGCACCCAGUGAGUCAAAGAUUUUUUUUUUUUUUUUUUAACAGCUCCACCCUUCAUGAUUAUUCUAGCGUGUUUCUUUUUUCUCCAUCAGUCUAGUGAAAACAUCCCGUUAGCCAAAUCUGAAAAAGAUUCUAACCUAGUCACCAACUCCUGGCAACCACCUCUUUCUCCUUCCCAAUAAUGACAAAAAGAAAAAAAAGUAUUUAAAAAAUCCAACACUUUCUUUUUGCCUUUAACUGUUAUGUGCUCCUCGCCUUUCCUCUCUACUUCUCUCCUCUGCCUUCUUCCUCUCUCUGUAUCUUCUUCUUAUUUGUGCAUUUUCUUCUCCUUUUCCUUGGCAUCUAGGCGUGCUUCUGCAGGUCUCACAGUCAGAGACAAAGCACAAUUAUGUCUGAGUUGAGCACAAAGAAACUAUCUUUUAAAAACAUUGACUUAGAGGAAACCUGCAUCCUCAGAUACCUUUCUCCCUUUCCUUGCUAUUUACAGAAUCUGACAUUAUAUUUAACACCACACUGCCUGUUGUCUGCAUGAUUCUAGCCAGAAAAAUUGGGUUAGAAUGGCAACAUACCCACUGUGUAUACAGAUAGGUAGAGACCCUAAUUUUCGGCAGAUCCAUGCUUUAAAGGAUCAUUGCAUAGCAGAGCUUUAAAAAUGAGUGCCAACAGAAAUGAUAGGAGAUGCUCCCCCAAUCAACUUAGGAUGUCUUCCUUUUUUCUUGUGCCUCUUUUUUUGGUCAUCUGAAAUAUUACUUGUCAUUAUUGGGGGACUUGAGGCUGAUCGAUGAAGUGUAUAUAUGUCUGUCGGACAUUUGAAGAGGAAAAACAUGCUUCAGGAAUAAGGAAAAUGUCUGCAGUGAAAGCAAAGGGUUAGGAUGAGCUUCAGUGACUGACGAGUUCAUUUCAAAAUCCAAGGGCACAUAGAUGGUAAAUUAGUACAUAUCGCAAAUACAGUCAACGAGCAAACCCCAGCCACUGGAAGGAAAGGGAAUUUUAGCACCGUAGUCAUCACAUGCCUGAACAGAGUGUCUACGUAUCUUAAAUGUAGAUCUGAAUCAUUGCUCUUUUAUCUCGCUAAAUGCUGAUUGCAAAGAAAUGUUUGGGCAUUGUUGACUUUCUGUCCAUAAAGAAAAGUCAUGAAGAUUCACAGAAUCCAUCACCUGCACUCAUACAUGCGUGUGUGCUUUAAAUUCCCCUAGGAUGUGAAACAAUUAGGCAGAGAAACUGCACUGUGGUCUCCCUUCCUCACUUCUUUCCCUCCCUGUUUUGCCUUUUUGAAAAUGUGAUACCUGAUCUCUAGGUCUAGCAGGCUGAGAAUCUUUUUGUAUUUGUAUAAUACAGUGUCUGGCCUUCCCCCUGACCUGCUGAUGUAUUUUUGGCCUCAUUAGUAGUCAGGGAGAUGCCUUAGUGCAUCCAGCACUGCAAGUCAGGGAUGAAACACACUACAACAGAGAGAGGGAGCAAGCGCGAGAGGAUAUUAGAAGAGAGGCUUGUCUCCAAGAUAUGGAAGGAAGUGAGAAAUGACAGGGCUGCAAGCUUUGUAUGUAGGAGACCGGCAGGGCGGGGGAGCGGCGAGGAGAGCCAACUGGAUUCUCAGAAAAGGGGGGAAGCCAUCGAAGAGCUAAAGGUGAUUAGAGGGGGAUAUUGAUUUCUUAUUCUGCCAGAGAUUUAAGCAGGCAUGCGAGGAAUCUGCACCAUGGUUGGCAAAAGGAGACCCAUUGCCUCCUGUAACCAGACACUCGGGCUUUCCAGGAGCCCAGGGAGCAAGCCGAGAAGAAAGGGGGCAGUGUGGUCUAGGAAAAUUCAACUUGUCGCUGAUUUGUGCCUGAUGCCUGCUGUCCGUCAGCAGCCUCCCUUACAAUCUUUUUUUCUCUCUCUCCCUUUUUUUUCCCUUGCCUUCUCCUUCUUCACUGAAGCCUAGGGGAGCCAGUAAAGAUUAAAUGUGCUUCUCAAAGGCAGCCACUUCAUGCUGCUAUGUCGAAAGGGCCAUUAUUAUUAUUAUAUUUUAAUAGUAAAAGAGAAAGGGAGAGAGGUUGAGCGAGUGAGAGAGAAGCUAGGUGUGAUGAUGACAGACUAGCUUUUCUGAGAGGAAAAGGAAAAGGGAAGGGAGAGAAAAAGGAGAGCCCCUGAGCUCAACGGAGGAUUGUGCCUGAGAAGAACCUACAGAGGCCUGGAAUAAAAGAAGAGCAACAAGAAGAAAGAAAUGAAAUGAAAAACAGAAAGAAAAAGGAGAAGAAACAUUUGAAACAGGGUCAUCUUCCCAUCCGCCGCCUCUCCUUUUCCUUUCAUUUUUGGAGGCGGCACAGGAAAGCCCCACUUCCAGUCUGAUGAGGAAAGCGACAAUCUAUCAGGUACAGAACCAGGGGCUGUCUGCGAAGAUGGAGGGGAAUUAUGCUUCGGAUUCCUCUGAAAUAUUGGCCAAAGGCUUCAAAGAAUCCGCAGCGGGAGGUACGGGGGGAACGUCUCUCCCCAGCCCGCACCCAGCCCUUCCCACUUCGCGUCUACCAAAUGACAGCCUGGUGCUCGCUCUUGGUGAUUUGGCCUUGACUUCAGCCAAGCAGCUGAUGCAGACGAAGGCUCCGUUUGCAGGACUGGCAAAGUGCACGCUAAAGAAGGAAGGAAGAAAUUUUUCAGAAAGCAGCUCUGGGGAGGUUUCAUACUCCCCCCCCCCUUUUUUUUUUUUAAUUUUUAAGUGAAUAUUUUCCAAAUUUGAUCAGUUCCAGCCCCUCCCUCCACUCCCACCCAACUGCCCUUUUUUCUCUCGUCAAAGCAUAAGCUACAGAGUUACAGUCUCGAGAUUUGGUGUAUCGCUUCCUGCCCCCGCCUCCCCUCCCCGCCCCCGUUCUCCGUCCUCUAUUGAAACACCUCGCCCAGCCUAGCACACUGAGAGCUCUCAUUUCCCCCCCUUGCUCGGGAUGGUGCCACAGGAGGCUGUGCGGGCCCCGCUCCGCUUCGAAUGGUUGUGUUGAUGUUCCUUUCAGCUGGUCCUAUAGUCCCCCUCCUCAGGAAUGUCUCCCCAGUGCAAGGACAAAGACUGAAGAGACUGCUAUAUUGAUGGACUCUCAAACCAACUAUGAAGUUGAAACAAAGAAAGUGAUCACCUGAAGACACCUCUGCUAAGCAACACCCCCAAAUUGUGCAGCUUCAGCCACUAGAACUCUCAGAACAAGAGAGAAUCUUUUCAAGAAACAGAAAAACUCAAUAAUGACAUCUAGAUUUUCAUGAGACAAGAACUUUCCCUUCCUCGUGUGUAUUCCUCUGUUUGUACUUAAAUUCAUGUGACAUUCAUUUUUUUCCUAGUACGAAUAUGCUUAUUAAUGCACUUGUUCCAAAAUCCCAAAUUGCACAAAUGUGUUGAUAUUUUAAGAAACAAAAUUAAUCCUACAAGGAGAAUGAUUUUUAGCCACACACUGGGUUGGAUCUUAAGAGUGACCUACAGAAUAAAAAGUACUUUUAAAAUAAA